UACGGAGGGGGCUAGCGUUGUUCGGAAUUACUGGGCGUAAAGCGCACGUAGGCGGCUUUGUAAGUUAGAGGUGAAAGCCCAGGGCUUAACCCUGGAAUUGCCUUUAAGACUGCAUCGCUAGAAUCGUGGAGAGGUGAGUGGAAUUCCGAGUGUAGAGGUGAAAUUCGUAGAUAUUGGGAAGAACACCGAUGGCGAAGGCAGCCCCCUGGGCCAAUACUGACGCUCAUGCACGAAAGGCGUGGGGAGCAAACGAGG
rnacentral:rRNA from 1 species